rnacentral:rRNA from 1 species
GCUGACGCCGGGCCAGCGGCGGGUGGGAGAGGGGGGGGGGAAGCGUGGUUCGUAAUUACUGGGCGUAAAGGUGUCGUAGGCGGCCAACUAAGUCAGACGUGAAAUCCCUCAGCUUAACUGGGGAACUGCGUCUGAUACUGGAUGGCUUGGAUUCGGGAGAGGAAUGCGGAAUUCCAGGUGUAGCGGUGAAAUGCGUAGAUAUCUGGAGGAACACCGGUGGCGAAGGCGGCAUUCUGGACCGACAUUGACGCUGAGGAGCGAAAGCCAGGGGAGCAAACGGGAUUAGAUACCCCGGUAGUC